rnacentral:rRNA from 1 species
GCUUAACACAUGCAAGUCGAGCGGUAAGGCCCUUCGGGGUACACGAGCGGCGAACGGGUGAGUAACACGUGGGUGAUCUGCCUCGCACUUCGGGAUAAGCCUGGGAAACUGGGUCUAAUACCGGAUAUGACCUGCUGUCGCAUGGCGGUGGGUGGAAAGAUUUAUCGGUGCGAGAUGGGCCCGCGGCCUAUCAGCUUGUUGGUGGGGUAAUGGCCUACCAAGGCGACGACGGGUAGCCGGCCUGAGAGGGCGACCGGCCACACUGGGACUGAGACACGGCCCAGACUCCUACGGGAGGCAGCAGUGGGGAAUAUUGCACAAUGGGCGAAAGCCUGAUGCACCGACGCCGCGUGAGGGAUGACGGCCUUCGGGUUGUAAACCUCUUUCGACAGGGACGAAGCGUAAGUGACGGUACCUGUAGAAGAAGCACCGGCCAACUACGUGCCAGCAGCCGCGGUAAUACGUAGGGUGCGAGCGUUGUCCGGAAUUACUGGGCGUAAAGAGCUUGUAGGCGGUUUGUCGCGUCGUCUGUGAAAACUCACAGCUCAACUGUGAGCUUGCAGGCAAUACGGGCAGACUUGAGUACUGCAGGGGAGACUGGAAUUC